AAAGGAACUAAGGAUUUGUUAGGUUGUCGUGCAGCUGACAGGUCUCGAAAAUCAAGCAUGACUAAGCAUGUAGAAAGCAUAUGGCCUUUAUGUUUGGACGCGGGUUCGACUCCCGCCAGCUCCACAA
rnacentral:tmRNA from 1 species